UACAGAGGGUGCGAGCGUUGUCCGGAAUCACUGGGCGUAAAGGGCGCGUAGGCGGCUUGAUAAGCGUGCGGUGAAAGCCCGGGGCUCAACCCCGGGUCGGCCGUGCGAACUGUCGAGCUGGAGCACUGUAGAGGCAGGUGGAAUUCCGGGUGUAGCGGUGGAAUGCGUAGAGAUCCGGAAGAACACCGGUGGCGAAGGCGGCCUGCUGGGACAGUGCUGACGCUGAGGCGCGACAGCGUGGGGAGCAAACAGG
rnacentral:rRNA from 1 species